rnacentral:rRNA from 1 species
AAGCGACUAAGCGUACACGGUGGAUGCCCUGGCAGUCAGAGGCGAUGAAGGACGUGCUAAUCUGCGAAAAGCGUCGGUAAGGUGAUAUGAACCGUUAUAACCGGCGAUGUCCGAAUGGGGAAACCCAGUGCAAUUCGUUGCACUAUCGUUAACUGAAUACAUAGGUUAACGAGGCGAACCGGGGGAACUGAAACAUCUAAGUACCCCGAGGAAAAGAAAUCAACCGAGAUUCCCCCAGUAGCGGCGAGCGAACGGGGAGCAGCCCAGAGUCUGAAUCAGCUUGUGUGUUAGUGGAACGGUCUGGAAAGUCCGACGGUACAGGGUGAUAGUCCCGUACACCAAAAUGCACAGGUUGUGAACUCGAAGAGUAGGGCGGGACACGUGGUAUCCUGUCUGAAUAUGGGGGGACCAUCCUCCAAGGCUAAAUACUCCUGACUGACCGAUAGUGAACCAGUACCGUGAGGGAAAGGCGAAAAGAACCCCGGCGAGGGGAGUGAAAAAGAACCUGAAACCGUGUACGUACAAGCAGUGGGAGCACCUUCGGGUGUGACUGCGUACCUUUUGUAUAAUGGGUCAGCGACUUAUAUUCUGUAGCAAGGUUAACCGUAUAGGGGAGCCGCAGGGAAACCGAGUCUUAACUGGGCGUUAAGUUGCAGGGUAUAGACCCGAAACCCGGUGAUCUAGCCAUGGGCAGGUUGAAGGUUGGGUAACACUAACUGGAGGACCGAACCGACUAAUGUUGAAAAAUUAGCGGAUGACUUGUGGCUGGGGGUGAAAGGCCAAUCAAACCGGGAGAUAGCUGGUUCUCCCCGAAAGCUAUUUAGGUAGCGCCUCGUGAACUCAUCUUCGGGGGUAGAGCACUGUUUCGGCUAGGGGGUCAUCCCGACUUACCAACCCGAUGCAAACUACGAAUACCGAAGAAUGUUAUCACGGGAGACACACGGCGGGUGCUAACGUCCGUCGUGAAGAGGGAAACAACCCAGACCGCCAGCUAAGGUCCCAAAGUCAUGGUUAAGUGGGAAACGAUGUGGGAAGGCACAGACAGCCAGGAUGUUGGCUUAGAAGCAGCCAUCAUUUAAAGAAAGCGUAAUAGCUCACUGGUCGAGUCGGCCUGCGCGGAAGAUGUAACGGGGCUAAACCAUGCACCGAAGCUGCGGCAGCGACACUAUGUGUUGUUGGGUAGGGGAGCGUUCUGUAAGCCUGCGAAGGUGACCUGUGAGGGUUGCUGGAGGUAUCAGAAGUGCGAAUGCUGACAUAAGUAACGAUAAAGCGGGUGAAAAGCCCGCUCGCCGGAAGACCAAGGGUUCCUGUCCAACGUUAAUCGGGGCAGGGUGAGUCGACCCCUAAGGCGAGGCCGAAAGGCGUAGUCGAUGGGAAACAGGUUAAUAUUCCUGUACUUGGUGUUACUGCGAAGGGGGGACGGAGAAGGCUAUGUUAGCCGGGCGACGGUUGUCCCGGUUUAAGCAUGUAGGCUGGUUGUCCAGGCAAAUCCGGAUAAUCAAGGCUGAGGUGUGAUGACGAGGCACUACGGUGCUGAAGUAACAAAUGCCCUGCUUCCAGGAAAAGCCUCUAAGCAUCAGGUAACAUCAAAUCGUACCCCAAACCGACACAGGUGGUCAGGUAGAGAAUACCAAGGCGCUUGAGAGAACUCGGGUGAAGGAACUAGGCAAAAUGGUGCCGUAACUUCGGGAGAAGGCACGCUGGUGUGUAGGUGAAGUCCCUGCGGAUGGAGCUGAGACCAGUCGAAGAUACCAGCUGGCUGCAACUGUUUAUUAAAAACACAGCACUGUGCAAACACGAAAGUGGACGUAUACGGUGUGACGCCUGCCCGGUGCCGGAAGGUUAAUUGAUGGGGUUAUCCGUAAGGAGAAGCUCUUGAUCGAAGCCCCGGUAAACGGCGGCCGUAACUAUAACGGUCCUAAGGUAGCGAAAUUCCUUGUCGGGUAAGUUCCGACCUGCACGAAUGGCGUAAUGAUGGCCAGGCUGUCUCCACCCGAGACUCAGUGAAAUUGAACUCGCUGUGAAGAUGCAGUGUACCCGCGGCAAGACGGAAAGACCCCGUGAACCUUUACUAUAGCUUGACACUGAACAUUGAGCCUUGAUGUGUAGGAUAGGUGGGAGGCUUUGAAGCGUGGACGCCAGUCUGCGUGGAGCCAACCUUGAAAUACCACCCUUUAAUGUUUGAUGUUCUAACGUUGGCCCCUGACCGGGGUUGCGGACAGUGUCUGGUGGGUAGUUUGACUGGGGCGGUCUCCUCCCAAAGCGUAACGGAGGAGCACGAAGGUUAGCUAAUCCUGGUCGGACAUCAGGAGGUUAGUGCAAUGGCAUAAGCUAGCUUGACUGCGAGCGUGACGGCGCGAGCAGGUGCGAAAGCAGGUCAUAGUGAUCCGGUGGUUCUGAAUGGAAGGGCCAUCGCUCAACGGAUAAAAGGUACUCCGGGGAUAACAGGCUGAUACCGCCCAAGAGUUCAUAUCGACGGCGGUGUUUGGCACCUCGAUGUCGGCUCAUCACAUCCUGGGGCUGAAGUAGGUCCCAAGGGUAUGGCUGUUCGCCAUUUAAAGUGGUACGCGAGCUGGGUUUAGAACGUCGUGAGACAGUUCGGUCCCUAUCUGCCGUGGGCGCUGGAGAAUUGAGGGGGGCUGCUCCUAGUACGAGAGGACCGGAGUGGACGCAUCACUGGUGUUCGGGUUGUCAUGCCAAUGGCACUGCCCGGUAGCUAAAUGCGGAAGAGAUAAGUGCUGAAAGCAUCUAAGCACGAAACUUGCCCCGAGAUGAGUUCUCCCUGAGACUUUAAGUCUCCUGAAGGAACGUU